rnacentral:rRNA from 1 species
GACGAACGCUGGCGGCGUGCUUAACACAUGCAAGUCGAACGGAAAGGCCCCUUUGGGGGUACUCGAGUGGCGAACGGGUGAGUAACACGUGAGUAACCUGCCCUUGACUUCGGGAUAACUUCAGGAAACUGGGGCUAAUACCGGAUAGGAAUCCUUGCUGCAUGGUGGGGGUUGGAAAGCUUCGGCGGUUUUGGAUGGACUCGCGGCUUAUCAGCUUGUUGGUGGGGUAGUGGCUUACCAAGGCUUUGACGGGUAGCCGGCCUGAGAGGGCGACCGGCCACAUUGGGACUGAGAGACGGCCCAGACUCCGACGGGAGGCAGCAGUGGGGAAUAUUGCACAAUGGGCGGAAGCCUGAUGCAGCAACGCCGCGUGCGGGAGGACGGCCUUCGGGUUGUAAACCGCUUUCAGCAGGGGCGAAGCUUGUGGUGACGGUACCUGCAGAAGAAGCACCGGCUAACUACGUG